AGAAAGGCCGAGAAGGCUGGUAGAUGAUGUUGUGGAUAAAGCUACAUUUGAUAACAUGAAAACGGAUUCUAGAGCAAACUACACAUUCAUGCCUCCUGAUCUCCUAGAUUUCAGCAAAGGGGACUUUCUUCGCAAAGGCACUAUUGGAGACUGGAAGAACACACUGACUGUUGCACAGAAUGAAAGGUUUGACAGCGUCUUUAAGGAGAGGUUGGAGAAGCUGCCCUUCAAGUUCUGCUGGGAUAUUCAUGAGGAUUCUGAGCC